rnacentral:rRNA from 1 species
AGCGAACGCUGGCGGCAGGCUUAACACAUGCAAGUCGAACGCCAUCUUCGGAUGGAGUGGCAGACGGGUGAGUAACGCGUGGGAACGUACCCUUUGGUUCGGAAUAUUCUCGGGAAACUGAGAGCAAUACCGGAUAAGCCCUACGGGGGAAAGAUUUAUCGCCCUUAGACGGGCCCGCGUCGGAUUAGCUAGUUGGUGGGGUAACGGCCUACCAAGGCGACGAUCCGUAGCUGAUCUUAGAGGAUGAUCAGCCACACUGGGACUGAGACACGGUCCAGACUCCUACGGGAGGCAGCAGUGAGGAAUCUUCCACAAUGGGCGAAAGCCUGAUGGAGCAACGCCGCGUGCAGGAUGAAGGCCUUCGGGUCGUAAACUGCUUUUAUUUGUGAAGAAUAUGACGGUAACAAAUGAAUAAGGAUCGGCUAACUACGUG